CAGGUGCGAAAGCAGGUCAUAGUGAUCCGGUGGUUCUGAAUGGAAGGGCCAUCGCUCAACGGAUAAAAGGUACUCCGGGGAUAACAGGCUGAUACCGCCCAAGAGUUCAUAUCGACGGCGGUGUUUGGCACCUCGAUGUCGGCUCAUCACAUCCUGGGGCUGAAGUAGGUCCCAAGGGUAUGGCUGUUCGCCAUUUAAAGUGGUACGCGAGCUGGGUUUAGAACGUCGUGAGACAGUUCGGUCCCUAUCUGCCGUGGGCGCUGGAGAACUGAGGGGGGCUGCUCCUAGUACGAGAGGACCGGAGUGGACGCAUCACUGGUGUUCGGGUUGUCAUGCCAAUGGCACUGCCCGGUAGCUAAAUGCGGAAGAGAUAAGUGCUGAAAGCAUCUAAGCACGAAACUUGCCCCGAGAUGAGUUCUCCCUGACCCUUUAAGGGUCCUGAAGGAACGUUGAAGACGACGA
rnacentral:rRNA from 1 species